rnacentral:rRNA from 1 species
GACGAACGCUGGCGGCGUGCCUAAUACAUGCAAGUAGAACGCUGAAGAGAGGAGCUUGCUCUUCUUGGAUGAGUUGCGAACGGGUGAGUAACGCGUAGGUAACCUGCCUUGUAGCGGGGGAUAACUAUUGGAAACGAUAGCUAAUACCGCAUAACAAUGGAUGACACAUGUCAUUUAUUUGAAAGGGGCAAUUGCUCCACUACAAGAUGGGCCUGCGUUGUAUUAGCUAGUAGGUGAGGUAAUGGCUCACCUAGGCGACGAUACAUAGCCGACCUGAGAGGGUGAUCGGCCACACUGGGACUGAGACACGGCCCAGACUCCUACGGGAGGCAGCAGUAGGGAAUCUUCGGCAAUGGGGGCAACCCUGACCGAGCAACGCCGCGUGAGUGAAGAAGGUUGUCGGAUCGUAAAGCUCUGUUGUAAGUCAAGAACGGGUGUGAGAGUGGAAAGUUCACACUGUGACGGUAGCUGACCAGAAAGGGACGGCUAACUACGUG